UUUGAGUUUGUGUUCUGUGGACCGACAAUGUAAAAACUUGUUACUGAUAGUUAAGUUGACCUAGAGUAAUAUAACUAGGUUUAGUUAAACUAAUCCUUUUCAAUAUGUAUGUGAUAACCUUGAAAUGUAGUUAUUUCAAAGAAUUCAGAAUUUUGAAUCCGUUAAGUUUCAUGUUUAAUUCGGCUUGAAUUUAAAUUAGCAAAUCAUAAAUGGAAUAAGGGCUUUAACAAUGAAGUGUUUGUUGCUUGUAGAAAACUGUUGCAUCACCAGGACGCGGAAUUUUGGCUAUGGAUGAGUCCAAUGCCACCUGCGGAAAGCGUUUGGCUUCCAUUGGUUUGGAAAACACUGAGGCUAACCGCCAAGCUUACCGUACCCUGCUUGUAACAGCUCCAGGACUCGGACAGUACAUCUCUGGUGCUAUUCUUUUCGAGGAGACUCUCUACCAGUCAACCGUUGAUGGCCGCAAAAUAGUUGAUGUUCUUGUUGAACAAAACAUUGUUCCUGGUAUCAAAGUUGACAAGGUAUAUUAACCUACACCCUCAACUUUAACGUCAAUAAAAUAUAUAGUGAACUUUUAGUAACUUCUAUUUUUAAUUUUAUGUGUAAAAUAUUGGUCUCAGAUGAGCUUAAACAGAACGACAUUAUACGUGAGGAUCUAUAUAGCCGACCCCAACUUGCUUGAAAUUCUUGUAGUAACAAGAAAGAGGAAAGGCAGGGUUAUGUAUGGGUAGCAAGAGUUUAUUAUAGGGCGUUCAAACUUUUAAGUUUGACUCUUAAAUAAACUUUAACUUGUUCAACUUAGAGUUGUUUAUAUGGCGAAACUAGCUCAGACAAGAGUUAAUCAGCCUAUGGACUGAGUAUUAAAUGAGAGGAUUUCAAGUUUAAUGAUUAAUUGGACUGAAAUGAGAUUUCUAUCAAAAUCCCCUAAUCAUUUUGUCUGUUAACAGGGUUUGGUUCCCCUUGCUGGUUCAAAUGAUGAGUCAUGGUGUCAAGGUCUUGAUGGCCUUGCCUCCCGCACUGCUGCAUACUACCAACAGGGUGCACGUUUCGCCAAAUGGUAUAUUCAAGAAUGCCUCAUAAUUUUCAAAAAUAUUGACUUUGUUAGGUCUAAAGAUGAUAUUUGCUAAAAUUAUGGUAACUUAUGCAGGCGUACCGUGGUGAGCAUUCCCAACGGACCAUCUGCAUUAGCUGUGAAGGAAGCAGCAUGGGGUUUGGCUCGCUACGCUGCAAUUUCUCAGGACAGUGGUUUGGUCCCAAUUGUGGAGCCAGAGAUUUUGUUAGACGGUGAACAUGGAAUCGACAGGACUUUUGAGGUAGCCCAAAAGGUUUGGGCUGAGGUCUUCUUCUAUUUGGCUGAGAACAAUGUCAUGUUCGAGGGUAUCCUCUUAAAGCCGAGCAUGGUCACUCCUGGUGCUGAAUGCAAAGACAGGGCCACUCCUCAGCAAGUCGCGGACUAUACUCUAAGUCUCCUUCAAAGGAGGAUUCCCCCAGCUGUCCCUGGAAUCAUGGUAAGUCUCCUUUAUUUCUAUGAAUUUAGCUAGUUUUUGACUGAGCACGAAAUUUAACAAACAAAGAGAGAUUGUCAGUACAUUGCCCAAGUAGCCUUAAAACGUGUGCUCUUAAACAUUUUAUGACAUUUCUAUGACUAUAUGAGCAUUGAGAAGUUAUUAAAGACUUAUUAUUUUCGAAAGAGAUUAAAAAGGAAAGUACCGUAUAAGAUGGAACUGAGUCAACAUAUAGAAUAUGAAUCAUUAGUAUCUGACUUCCCGUGAUAUAUAUAGAUGAAUAAGUGAAUAAACACUCAACGAGACUAACAUAAACAUUGGCACUAGGUAUGAAAUUACUAUUUAACUGGUGCUAAUUGACUCGAUAUUGUUGCAGUUCUUGUCUGGUGGGCAAUCAGAAGUUGAGGCUACAUUGAACUUGAAUGCCAUGAACCAAGCUCCAAACCCAUGGCACGUAUCGUUCUCAUACGCGAGGGCUCUUCAGAACACUUGCUUGAAAACAUGGGGAGGACAACCCGAGAACGUUAAGGCUGCUCAGGAUGCUUUACUUACCAGGGCCAAAGC
rnacentral:lncRNA from 1 species